GAGUAGUUAAAAGAUAGAACAGUCUAAUCAAGUGCCGUGUCUCUUAUUCUUGAUCAGCUAUAGCUCUGGAGUUUUUGCAGAUUUUCAAAUAAAACUCAAAGAUUCCUUGUAUGACUCUCUCAGAUCUCUCGUUUGUGGUAUUUCUAGAUCCUUACCAUGGCAGUGAUGGUAUAUGCCUUCUCUCAAGUAUGUAGUAUUUGUGGUAUAAGGCAUAGUGACAUUGCCUUCUCUCUCAUCCUACUCUCAUAAGGCUUUGAUAUCUGGAGCUCAUAGGUGGGAGAUAAAGUAUACAUACUUACAAGACAUUUAUUGCAUAGUCAAACCAUGGAUCUAGAAAAACAAGUCAAUAAGUCAAAUCAAGAUGUGCAUGUGUGGCGAAUGAAUGGUGUAUGGUGAUAACAAUGGUGAAAGUCUAAUUCUACUUUUGCUCUUUUGAGGGGAUACAUACCUUUCUUGCUCUUUUGAAACUUUUAAAUUUUGAGGAGAAUGAGAUGCUCUAUAUUUUCUUUUUCUUUCCUCUCAGGUGGGUAUUUUGUACCCCUAAUUCUACUGUCGAACACUUGUCCAUUUUUACCUCUCGUCUCACUUUUUUCUUUUCUUUCGAGGUUUUGGGCACUUGCCCCUUUUUAUUUCCUCGUAUCUUUCUCUCUUCUUUCUUUAGAGCACUUAUCUCAUGAAAUAAUAUAGCAAGUGGUAGUAACCAAGAUAAGUUGAGCAUUUAUUUCACAGGGGAAAACAGAAAUAUUUUUGGCUAUUCUCUCCCGGAUUAGGAGUAGAAUAUUUUUGGGUGGUUCUGGAGAUGGAAAUGAGUGGAUAUAUGUGGAUGGUACUUCCGGAGUAGAAGCAACAUGUGUGAGUGAACGUGCAAGUGAAUCUUGAUUUAACCACAUGACAAGCUCCUAAGGGUCUACACAGCUUGACCACACUCAAUGCUCAUAAGUAGUAAAGUAAAUGUGUGGCUCAAAGUCUAGCAAGCAUGUAUAUAUGGCUGUGGUAGGAAUUUAAACUCUCAUCAUACAGAAACUCAUCAUACAAUAUUUUAAAGAUUUUAAAAGAUAAAAUUCUCCAGAUUUCUAGCAUCUCUAGGAACAGAUAAACAGCAGCUCAACCUUCCCAUAUCAUAUCCGUUAACAACUUAGACUUUAGGUCAAGUUCUCUUCUCACAAGUUUAGGUUUAGAGCAAGCUUUAAAUUAUAUCAGUUAUGUCUAAACUAGAGAGAAAACUUAAAUUUGAAAAUUAGGCAAAGCAACUAUUCAUCACAUCCAUGCUAGAGUUUUAUUAUUAGGGUUCAGUUUAGCAUAGCCACUUUAUUUAUUUAUUAAACACACUAAGCAAAAGAUAUAUAUAUAUAAGCAUAAAAUCUUUAUUUGGUUUUUCAUAGUUAUGUAUAUUUAUAUUUUAAUAUAGUAUAAGUAUAAAGAUAGAUAGAAAUACUUAGCGAGAUAAAUGGGGGUGCUCUCCCCCAAGCUGAAUUUUGACGUAAUUUCUUCUGAUGUAGCUAGCUAGCAGGUGACAGAGGUGUAUUUGAAAGUCGGCAGUACCCUGACAGCGAUUAGAAUGUCCUCCGUCUGCUAGUCUUCUUGAUUCUUAAAUUCUGUGGAGCUCAAAUAGACAACAAAGCUUUGUGAAACCCAUUAAGUGUUAGUAUAAAUAUCUAGCCUUUAUCAUGUUGAGCCUCCCCAAUAAAUAUUACUCUCUAUUUUUAUUUUUUCAUUUUAUAGAGCAGAAUAAAUAUUUAUUUUAUUUUUAUGCCACCACAGUGAAUGUACUUAUGGAGUUUAUGCCACUCGUAUACUCACAUGGGGCUUACUGUUUUUUUAACAUUUUUAUUUUCUUUUUAGGAUAGUAUGAACAUAAUUAACUAAGUAAACUACUUUAGAUAUUUAAAAGGGAAAGGAUAACUACCAAGUUUACCUCUUGGUAUGGCGUUCGGUGUUUUUAAGUCCUCCGAACGGGACUCUCCAUUUUCUCAGUUGUCCUAGGGUUCGUUGGGUGGCGCAGUCGGUGCUUCCAGCGGUGCCUCCUCUUCGUGUAUAGUUAUCUUCUCUUUCCACACCUGACUCGGUGCUACGGUCACCUCAGGAUAGUCUUGUUCAAGCUAUAUGUCUUCAGACCUUACUACUUCUCCUUCAUAGUCAACCCAUCCAUCCUUGAUGAUUUGCCUCUUCUAGUUGCGGUUGCGUCGUCUUCUUCUAACCUGCUUAGAGUCUUCAACGAUAUAGUUAGGGUCAGUAAAAUAGCGGCGUACCUUCUCUGAGGGGAAGUGCAAAUGGACUUCUCCAUUUCCAAUGUAGAUGAUUGCUUUAACAGUGCUGAGGAACGGUCUGUUGACACUAGCUAACUCCACUUAGAUACUAGGUUGUCAUCCCUAGCAUGGCGCCAGAGUGUACAAAGGUAUUUAUAAAUGUAAAGGCUCUCUAGAAAAUAAUCUAUUCAAUCCGCAAGUGCACAGAUAAAACACCUCAUUGUAGCAUUUCACCAGGAUAAGUAUUCCAGGUAUCGUUAUUUAUAAUUCUGCUUAACAGAACAAAAGGGAUGAAAUUAAAUUAAGGACAAAAUCUAUCAAGGCAUAGACUAGAGAUAAACUUGCAAGAACAUGAUUACUAAUGAGAAACUCGUCACACAGUCACUUACUUUGGCAGGGGGUAAACCAUAAAGAUAAUGAUAAUGAAUUAUAAGUUCAAGGGAUAAAGAACAUAGCGAUUAGAAAAUAGACUACUCCUCAUAUAUGUAGGUGAUGUCGGAUUAGCUAUAGAAUGGAUUCUAAGUUAUCUACUAACUAUUAAGUCAUAAUCUACUCUAGUUAUCUACAAGAUCAUAUAUAGCAUAAAAGACUCUUCAUUCAUGUAUAAGGAACAUUGAUAAAGUAAAUCAGAGCAUCGCACGACUUACUCCACAAUACCGGUUCUGCCUGUCCUAUCAACGGAGGGUGGGCUAUAUAAGAAUCAAUGAAGCUGUCACUAUCGCGAACUACCACACGACCCGGCCAAUAGGAUACAUUUGCCGAUAAAUAACAUCUAAGCACCACGCUCACAUGUGAUCUAUCACCUAACUCCCUCGCGUCAAGAGCUAAGCGCUUUGCAAACUUAUACAUAAACUCAUUAUCAAUCAUAACUAUAUCAAAUAUAGAACUAGAGCAAACUAAGAACAUAAUAAUUAGAGACAUAAUGCAAUUAGAACAAAGAAUUAGAGAAAGAUAUGAAUAAUACCAAUCUUUAUUACCGAAGAUCCGAAUCCAGAGCGUAGUGCUCUACUUCUCUAAUUGCUAUCUAAUCAAACUUCUAAACUUGAAGGAUUAGGGAGUAGCUAAUUCUAAUUCUCUGUGGGAGAGAAGCUCUAAACCCUAACUUUGAUGGCUACCUCUGAAUAAUGAUUUCUUCUCUUCUCCUCCAGGGGCCAGGGGGUCUGGUUUUAUAGUCCCCUCAAGUGAACGUGAGCCAUUGGAUCAAACCGACAUAGAUUGUAUGGUUUAGAUUGAUCCUUUAGGUCGGUGGAGUCUUGCCCCGAAGCAGAGUCCUGAUUGGACUCCUACCCUAGGCGGGCGCCCAAGGGGGGUGGGCGGGCGCCCUGCCCCCGAGCCCGAAUCCCUUCUCGUUCGUUCCCGUGGCUUCUGGACCCUUCCAGAUUGAGGAAAAUUGCGCGGCACGUAAUUAUCUCGUUGUAAACAUGACAUGUGGGCCUUCUCUCCAUAAUUCCUGAUAACCCCCUGCAGAAAUAGAUAAACACCAAAGCUCGUGGAAUUCUGUCAGAUAAAACCCUAAUUCUAGAUGUUUGUUUCAUAUUGAUCCUUUUUCAUGUUUAUUUGAUUAUUAAUUUUAGUACUUAAGGACCGUCAACACGGUCUUCCAAGGAUGAUGGGUGGAUCGUACUCGUCUUCUCCCAUGUCAAUAACCUGAAAGUCUGUGUAGACAAAAUGAUCGUCUAUUUUGACAGGGACAUCAGUUACUAUACCUUUAACCUCUCGAAAUGUCAAAUCUACCAUCUGGAGCUGAAUGUAUGUUGGUUUUAAGGGCAUGGUUCGGAACAAGAGCCGAUAGGUGACUGCGGCCAUUAUGUUGACGCCCGAUCCGGUGUCGCAAGUCGUCUUGUAGAAGUUGUAUCCAUUUAUAGAGCAAUAGAUGCUUGGCAUUCCUGGGUCGUCCUUCUUGGUCAGAAAUGAUGACUUAAGUCGAUGAUCUUGUCCUUCAUGAACUGCAGUGACCAUCUUAGCUGACUCGGUCCACACUUGCCUGUUCCUGAUCCUCCUGUUGGUCCUCUUCCUUGAUUCAUGUCGAGAUUGCUCUGGGAUUUGUGUAGUCUUGUUCUUGAAGGAAAACGUCUCCUUCCUCCCUUUGAUGUAGAAACUGAUCUUGGCAGCACUAGCAUAGAUGACAGCUCCCGAAGUGUUUAAGAAUGGCCUCCCUAAGAUGAUGGGUGCCCUCUCAUCAUUACCGGUCUCUAUCACCACGAAGUCUGCUGGGGCGUACAAGGUACCAACUCGGACAGAGAGGUUCUUCAAUAUUCCCUUUGGGAAACUCAACGCCUGAUCUGCAAACUGCAAACACAUGGUUGUUUCUAAUAAAGGAUAUGUAAAGAAUUUUUCAUAGAGUACCCUGGGCAUAAUGUUAAUGCUGGAGCCAAAGUCGCAGAGUGCUUCUGGGAAGUCCACCAUGCCGAUGGAGAUCGGGAUGACGGGGCGUCCUGGAUCGCCUCUCUUGACCGGUAGAAGGUCAGUAGUAACUUCAGUGACGGGGUUACCCUAGUAGUGUCCUGCAUCAAACAUGUCUACAAGAUUUGCAAAUUCUAAUCCUUCCGGUUGUGAUGGUGUACCGGGGUUAGUAGCAGGAACAGCAGCAGCUAUUUGAUUUAUCUGAGAUUCAAUCAUCUUAUUAAAGCUAAUUUGAUUCUUGAUGGUAGUAGAGAAAUUAUCCAUUCUAUUAUUUAUAUUUUCUAGCAUUUUAUCAUUAGAUGCCAAUUUCUUAGAUAGGUUAUCCAUUAGCUUUCCUUGACUAGACAAUAACUCUCUGAGAGGUGGAAAAUUAUUAUUAUUGUUGUAAGAAUUGUUACCUUGAUAAUUACCUAAGUAAUUAGGCCUCUAUUGAUUCCAACCUUGAUUUUGUUGAGGACGAUUGUAAUAGUUGUUGUUGUUGUUGAUGUAGUUUACAUCCUCAAGCAUCUCAGGGCAGUGAUUGCCUGAGUGUCCAGUAUCUCCACACUCCUCACAAGUCAUGUGAGAGUCGUAGAUGUGCAUAACUUCUUUCUUAUCUCCAGCUUUAUCAUCGAGCUUCUUCAUGAGCAGGUCUAGCUUUGCAGACAGCAUGUCUACCUCCUUGAGCUGAUGUAUACCUCCACCUCUCUUGCGUGUCUGGGUCCUCUCUUCAUUCCAGCUUUGGUUGGACGCCAUCUUCUCCGCAAGAGUUGUGGCUUGUGAUAUAGUAAGUGAUAGGAAUGCUCCUCCAGCUGCAGCAUCUAUGGUCUCUCGGGCACUGUUGCUGAGCCUAUGAUAAAAUGUCUGCAUCAGUAGCCAACUCUCCAUUCCAUGAUGGGGACAUUCUAGGAUGUAGUCUUGGAAGCGCUCCCAUGCUUCUGGAACGGAUUCAUCUUGUUGUUGCUAAAAACUUGUAAUCUUCCCACGGAGACCAUUGGUCUUGCCCAUGGGAAAGAACUUAGCCAGAAAGUACAUGGAGCAGAGUGCCCACGUAGUAUUCUUCUCCUUUGUAGCAUAGAACCACUGCUUCGCUCUUCCUAAUAGUGAGAAUGGGAAGAGGCGAAGUAGUAUAGCAUCUCUAGGGACUCCUGAUAUGGUGAAUGUGCUGCAAAUCUCCAGGAAGUGUUGGAGAUGAGCACUAGCAUCUUCGUGUGCCUUCCCACAGAACUAGUUGGAUUGCACCAUGUUGAUAAGUCCAGGCUUGAGGUCAAAGUUGCCAUCAAUCUCUGCAGCAGGUCCAGAUCGAUUUGUUCGCCAUGGCUUCGAAUUCUAAAGACAAGUUUCGGUGAUCUUCUUGAAUGGAUGAAGCUUCGUGCUGAAGUGUUGAUGAUCUCUUCUUGAGCUUGGCUCUUGUUUUUCUGAAUAAUGCUUCGAAAUUGUCAACAAAAUUUCCUGGAAGAUGUCUUCUAUUCAUACAUUACCCUGCAUAAGAUAAAAUAGAAAAAUAUCAGGGUAAAAUUGUAUGAGAGAAUUGAUAAGCUCAAUCAUAUUAGUGAUGCGAAUGAUGACUCAAAAUCCUAUAUUCAUUCCUUAUUAGUAAUCAACCUUCCCCAGCAAUGGCGCAAAAAUGCUUGUUGGGCAUUCUUAACGUCACUACCAAAAGUAGACUUAGUUUCCUAAUUCUGAUAAUGGCACCAAAAAUGCCAAACCUAUCCCUCAUAUCACUUAAGCCAAGUUGUCAUCCCCAGCAUGACAUGAGAAGCGCGGUAUUGAAAUAUGCAAUUGCUCUUCUAAAUAAAUAACAAAUGAGAUCUGAAAGCACACAGAUUAAUACCGAUAAACCGGGAAGUAUUCCAAGUAUCGUUAUUUAUAUUUUUACCACUGGAAAGGGAUUAGUAAUCAUCAAUGUUGAUUAUAGAAUGGAAUAUAGAAUUGAGUAUGUAUCGUUGCAUGUAUAAUUGAGAACAUUUAUCUAACUCUUUCAUACAGGGAUAACUGUCACAUAAAGAAUAUAUAUAAAGUAAUGAAUAGUGACAAAGAUAAUUAAUCUGAUCAGCAUAACUUAGCCACAUAUAAAUAUGAUAAGAACCACAAUUAGAUAUUCUAGCAAGUCAUUAGCAUGGAAUUAGGACGAACUACAAGAAUAUUUCCUAAGUUAUUCUCAACUAUACAGUCUAGCAUAUCAUAGUUAGUGCAAUUAUAAUUAGCAAUCAUUGUGAGACAAGACUACUGUUGACGGUCCUUAAGUACUAAAAUUAAUAAUCAAAUAAACAUGAAAAAAGGAUCAAUAUGAAACAAACAUCUAGAAUUAGGGUUUUAUCUGACAGAAUUCCACGAGCUUUGGUGUUUAUCUAUUUCUGCAGGGGGUUAUCAGUGAAUAUGGAGAGAAGGCCCACAUGUCAUGUUUACAACGAGAUAAUUACGUGCCGUGCAAUUUUCUUCAAUCUAGAAGAGUCCAGAAGCCACGGGAACAAACGAGAAGAGGAUCGGGCUCGGGGGCAGGGCGCCCGCCCUAGCUAGGAGUUGGAUCAGGACUCUGCUUCGGGGCUAAACUCCACCGACCUAAAGGAUCAAUCUAAACCACACAAUCAAUGUCGGUUUGAUCUGACGGCUCAAAUUCACUUGAAGGGACUAUAAAACCAAGGCCUCUCCCCCCUGGAGGAGGGAGGAGAAGAGAAGAAAUCAUUAUUCAGAGGUAGCCAUCAAAGUUAGGGUUUAGAGCUUCUCUCCCACAGAGAAUUAGAAUUAGCUACUCCCUAAUCCUUCAAGUUUAGAGGUUUGAUUAGAUAGCAAUUAGAGAAGUAGAGCACUACGCUCUGGAUUCGGAUCUUCGGUAAUAAAGAUUGGUAUUAUUCAUAUCUGAAAGGAUCAAGAUGCCCAAGAGGGGGGGUGAAUUGGGCUUCUCUAAAAAUUUAAGCAACCUAUAAGCUCCAAUUCAACCCCUUGUGCCUAGUGUGACUUAGAGAGCUACCGGAUAAAAGUUUUGCAACAUAGUUCCAAUCCUAUUCUAGCAUGGCAAUUCUAAGAAAGUAAAAGCACAAAGUAAAUGCUAGAAAGUAAAGGAGUAGUGGAAGAAAAUGCUCGGCGAUGUUUUGCCGAGGUAUCGGAGAGUCGCCACUCUCCACUAGUCCUCGUUGGAGCACCCGCGCAAGGGUCUUGCUCCCCCUUGGUCCGCGCAAGGACCAAGUGCUCUCUACGGGCUGAUUCUUCGACACUCCGUCACGGUGAAUCGCCCAAAACCGCUCACAAGCUUGACACGAGCCACCCACAAGAACUCCAGGUGAUCUUUGUGCCUCCAAUCACCACCGAACCGUCUAGGUGAUGGCGAUCACCAAGAGUAACAAGCAAAGAACUCUCACUUGACCCAAACAAGGCACUAGAGAGUGGUGGAAGCACACUUGACUCUUGGAACUCACUAGAGGAGGAUUCUCUCAAGAAUUCACUCAAAUCUCAAUCCUCUCUAGGCUCUUUGCAACUCUCUUGCUCCACAACAAGUUUCUCUGAUGUUCAAAUGGGCAAGAGAGGUCUCAUGGACGAGGUGGAGAAGUAUAAAUACUAUCCACCAAGUCCAAAGGUCGGCCAACCGUUUUCCACUGAAAACGGGGUCACCGGACGCACGUUAUGUUGCACCGGACGCACUGCACCGAGCGUCCGGUGUGACAUAACGGCUACCUGCUCUUCUCUCUGACAGGUCACCGGACGCUAACUCGCAGCGUCCGGUGCACCGUCUGGUGCUCGGGGAAACUUUACAUGUUCCCUGCGCAUGGGACCGGACGCUACCCGGCGCGUCUGGUGCUAGCGUCCGGUGCUCAGGGGAACUUUGCAAGCUCCCUGGGUAAGGGACCGGACGCUGCCCGGUGCGUCCGGUGCCUAACCCUAAGCACCAAACUGCUCCAACGGCUAAGGACCUCACCGGACGCACUCACAGAGCGUCCGGUGCAGCGUCCGGUGCCCCUUUGGGCACCCAAACCUCAUCGAAACACGAUCGCUCCAACACGAAGUUAGUUCCUCUCGAUCUAAGGACUAUCUCUGAGCUGCCUAGUGCUAGGUUUACCAAGUGUGCACCACACCUAAACCUAAAGCCUUGCCUAAGUCAAGCUACUAGAUCAAAGCCCCUCUUAAUAGUACGGUCAAAGGAAAACAAGGUCCUAAACUACUCUAAGUGCCCUUCUUCACCAUGUGGCACUUAGACCUAGUCUAGUCUUGACGAUGUCCAUCCAUCCUUUGAAAACCGAAACGAUUUCCACUAUUAAGUAGGCAUGUACGUCCCUGUCCAUCGAGUACCUAUAUACCAUGACCUUACCUAUGACUUUGCCUCUGCAAAACACACGUUAGUCAUAGUAAUCAAUAAUGUCAUUAAUCACCGAAAUCACUAGGGGCCUAGAUGCUCUUUCAAUCUCCCCCUUUUUGGUGAUUGAUGACAACCUCGAGUAUGAAAAGAGUUGAGGUUUUCAAAGUGACUUGGUUUCAAUAAGCAUAUUACAAUAAGAAUAAAAGGAUUAGUAAUGCUUAUAUCAACCAAGUCCAAUACCCUGCAUCCAAAUAUGUGAGUGGUACACGACAGGAUAUAAACAUAAGGCUCAUAAGAAUAUCAGAGUAGACACGCGGAAGCAAAAAGUAAUAUGAGCCAAACACAUGACAAUAAGAUAUCACAUUAAGCACAAAUCAUGUCUCAUAACCACAGUAUCUCACACAAGUGCAAUGCAUUAAAGUAAACAUGAUGCAUGAUAAAGUAGCACACAUAAAGAGUAUCUCAAAAGAAUAAACUCCCUCUCUAGCUCCCCCUAACUCCUAACUCUCUCAAACGCUCUCUCAUACGCACUCUCUCCCCCUUUGGCAUCAAGCGCCAAAAACCUAAGAAGACGGUGGAGGAGGCGGAGCAGUAGAGUCCCUCGGCGCGGCCACAAAACGAGCUGCAUCAUCAGAACUAUCAGCCGUCGAGGCGGAGGAAGUGGGGUGACCCUCUGAAGCUGCAGGUGCUGGAGAAGCGGUCCGGGUCUGCUCUGGCACUGUCACAGGCUGUGCUGGCUGCUCAAGUCCGGCGGACGAAGCUGGCACGGACUCGGUCGCUGUAGCUGUCGUCUCUCGAAUGGUAGUAGACGGUGCAAGCUGCUCGGACGACGCUACGGACGAUGACAGAAGCUCUGUAGUGGUAACUGGCGCCGUAAAGACUGCAGGAGCCUGCAGAGGAGGAGGCGUAGGGUCACCAGUCAGAGCACUGUAGGUGAAGCUAAGGUGCGGAUCUGUCUGCGAGUCCCACACAAGCUGUGACGCUGAAGCUGACUGAGGGGUGAAGCCUGAGCGGAGAGGGGUAAACUGCGGUACCUGCUCAAAGCCUGAAGAGAUAGCACCCUGAGAGACCUGGUGCUGUGGCGUCGAAAACGGCUGACUCUGAGCUGGUAUCUGGAGCGGCUGCUGUGACGGGCUCUGAGUCUGGGGUGCAGGAGUAGGAGGCCUGACGGACGAUGUGCCUAGGAGCUGUAUCUGCGGUAGCUGAAUCCCGGAGGCGGCCAUGAGAGCGGCCAUCAUCGCGGUCUGCUGGGCCUGGAAAGCAAGCUGCUGCUCCUGAAAUGUAAGAAGCUGAUGCUGGAGCUAAUCCUGCCUGGCCUGCAUGGCUGCAUUGAUGGCAGCCUGAUCCUUGUCGCGCCUCGCCUGCUCCUAAGCUGCACGGCGCUGAUCUGCCCUUAUCCCCUCUAGAAUAGCAAGCAGGGCAGUGUCUGAAGCACUCGAAGAACCGCCUGCCUCGUGGUCAUGAGCUCUGGGAGGAAGGUCAGUCACUCGCGGCUGAUAGUCAUCGUCUGAACUGUCUGAGGCAAAGUCAAACUCGCCCUCUGCCUCUGCAUCGGCGAACGCCCCAAUAGCUAUAUCCUGCUGCUCCUCUGUCUCUGCAACAGCUGCUGUACUGCGGGUGCCCCUAGGAGAAGGUGGGGGCACUAGUCCACGUGGAGCACGAGGAGGAGGUGCACCGCGAAGGUCGUGGUGCGCUCUCAACAUCUGCCGGGGGUCGUAGUGAGGGAAGACGGUGUCGGACUCUGUCAACUCCCUCUGCAAGUGAGCUGGCAGGGGCAGUGGCCUAGCACGAAGUAUAAGUAGAGUGAUCCAAUGUGCAUACGGCAACUGACGCCGUCCCCUGAAGCUCUCUGAAAUGGUGUCCUCAAUCUCAGAGACAAUCAAAUCCCACAAAUCAAACUGCGUCUGGGAGAUAAGGUGAGCGACGAGCCACUGCUGCAUACGAGUGAAACCGUCUCUGUAGCCUGUCCUGGGAAGAAGAGUCUUCCUCAACACAAAGUCAAGGACCCUGGCUGGGCGUGUCAAGUCUGCCACUAUCCUGCUGGAGCCUUCCCCAAAAGGUGCACGCAAACAGGGAGCCACGAAGUCAACUGGUGGUAUCUCACCACCGUGAGGACGACGAGGGGGAUCCACGUUCCCGUAGCACAGCUGGUGAAUCCUAGUGGGAGAGGCUCGCAGUCCAAGCACCUCUCUGGCCCUCUGAGCUGUCACUCUGUAGUCUGUCCCCGCCAGUGCGUAGUGUAUAUAACUGUGAUCUGGAGAAACCCACACUGACGCGUAGAACUCUCUGACCCACUGCUCACAGUAAGUGCCGGGGAGUGCUAGUAACUCUGGAAGUCCGUGGAGGUAGGUAAAAUACUGACGAAUAUCAGCUCCAACCACGUUCCCCAGUAUCUCCAGGUCGAUCACUCUGUGCUCCCUGAACUGAGCCUGAGAGCGAACCAGUGCCUCGUAGAUGUCCUCCUGGAUGACUAUGUAGAACCUGGCACCGGCUCUAGGAUCCCUGGCAGCUGGAAACCAGGUGGGAAACAGAACGAACCUCAGCUGCUGGAUCUCUCUUGCUGACACAAGAGAAAGAUCCCUGUGGAUCCUGACUGGCCUCGGGCGUGAAGCUGGUGUACCUCUCGCUGGAGUGGCACGAGCUGUGGAAGUGGACUGACCCGGCGUGCCGGUCCGAGGAACAGCCUGGGUGCGAGCACGAGUCGACCUCCUGAGUGGCUGCUCCUGCUCCUGCUCCUGUGCUGGACCCUCUGCCUGGGUCUCUGUCUCAGUGUCUGGAUCCUCCUAAGCUGGAUCCCUAACCACAAGCCUAACCCUCUGUCCUCCAAUCGUCACGGUGCCUGGAGGGGAUCCAUGGAAUGCCUCUGCCUCAAGCACUGCAUGCCUCUGACACGGCGUAAGAUCAUCCCCAAUCCUCAAAGCACCUACUCGACCACCUCUCUCUGCAGCAUCUGCUGCUGCUGCCACUGCCUCUACGACCUCUGCAUCUCUGUCACUGGCCUUGCGCUUCUUGGUGGCCAGCUUCUUUCCUUUGCCUUUCUCUGCUGCUGAGAAGCGACGGGGAGGAUCACCUCCACCAUCACCUCCUGAGGCACCUCCAGUGCCGGCUGUCGGACCGCUGACAUUCUUGGUACGAGCCAUAGCAAGACAAACGUCCGACAAAACAACUGACUGGCAAUGGAGAACAAAACACUGCAGAGAAUUGACAAGAUAGGAUUUAUAUGAGCAAAUAUAUCGACUAGAGAUGAGACAAACCUAUAGAUCGCAAGGAUAGAUAAGAUAUGGACGCGAAAAGCUUACGAUCCUCGGACGAGAUGCGUUCCGGACGAAACCUUUCACUCGAAAACCACCGAAGAAAGCAAAUCUUUUCCUCAAGAUGCUGCAACGGGAAAGCAAUCGAGAUAGGGAUCAAAAACUAAAAACGAAUGUCGUUGACACAUACGAUCAAACACCUUGAGGGCAAAGUCCAAGGAUCUUACCCAAACCCUAACCCUUCGCAGAGGAGAGAGUUCUGGCAAGAGGAGGGAAGAGAGAGAGCCUUGGAGCAGAUCUGUCGCGAGGAGGAGAGCUGAGGGCGCCGCGGAUUCGAUGAGCUUCGAAGGCCGCGGCGGAUUACGGCGGCUAGGGCACGGGUGUGAUGAGGAAGAUGAAAAAAACUACCGCGGAGAGCCCCUGGGCGCAGGCUAUAUCCGCCCACCGCGGGGUCACCGGACGCUCUUUAUGUGGCACCGGACGCGUCCGGUGACCACCGGACUCAUGCGCAGAGAGGUCUGAAAAACAGCAUUGCACCUGACGAUGGGCACCGGACGCUGGCCUUAGCGUCCGGUGCUUCAGGUCACACCAGGUGAGCACCGGACGCACCACACCGGACGCUGCAGGAACAUUGUUCCUGCGUCCGGUGCAUGCAAUCUGGCACGCUCACCGCACCGGACGCUCAGAGGCAGCGUCCGGUGCAUCGUCCGGUGCUCCUCUGAGCACUUAUCCAACUAUGCACCACGUCCGAGUUUGACCCAACCAAGUUCCAUCUUCAAAAACACACAAGUAAACACCAAAUGGAAUUGGUAUGAGUGACACCUCUCAAACUCUCAAAUUUUCACAAAUAUUUAGCCAUAGGCUUAGUAGUUUUUAUGAAGGUAGUUCGAGAAAAAAAUCACCAAGGAGCAUCGUAUGGCCAUAAAGCUAGGGGUUUGAAUCAUAAUGAGCUUUGAAUGCUCCCCCUAUCUAUGGACGAACGCAGCGGAUGCUCAACGAAUAACCGAAAAGAAACGAUCAACUAACAAGCAUGCACAUGAUAUGAGUUGUAAUGCUGUACUUGAGAGAAAACUAAUGCUUGUCAAGUUUGAUCCAAGGUUAAGCUUUUUCACACACACAAGGGGGUUAUCUUAACCAAGUUAGACAAGCCCUACAUGCAAGUUAUAUUUUUAGUUUUAGUAUGCAUGAUAUGCAAAGCAAAAGUUAUUUACAAGAUUCAACACACAACUUUUAUCUUUUAGUGAAGUUGGAUAGGUCAAGCACAUUAAGUUCAUUUCUCAACAUACAAAACCUAGCUUCAUCUAGGGGUUUUGUGAAGAUAUCCGCCAAUUGAUUUUCCGUUCCCACAUUCUCUAGGGAUAUGUCACCUUUAGCAACGUGAUCCCUAAGGAAGUGGUGGCGGAUGUCAAUAUGUUUUGUGCGGGUGUGUUGAACCGGGUUGUUUGCAAGUUUUACGGCACUUUCGUUGUCACACAACAAAGGUACUUUGUCUAGUACUACUUCAUAGUCUAGCA
rnacentral:lncRNA from 1 species